rnacentral:rRNA from 1 species
CUUGCUCCUGGAUUCAGCGGCGGACGGGUGAGUAAUGCCUAGGAAUCUGCCUGGUAGUGGGGGAUAACGUCCGGAAACGGGCGCUAAUACCGCAUACGUCCUGAGGGAGAAAGUGGGGGAUCUUCGGACCUCACGCUAUCAGAUGAGCCUAGGUCGGAUUAGCUAGUUGGUGGGGUAAAGGCCUACCAAGGCGACGAUCCGUAACUGGUCUGAGAGGAUGAUCAGUCACACUGGAACUGAGACACGGUCCAGACUCCUACGGGAGGCAGCAGUGGGGAAUAUUGGACAAUGGGCGAAAGCCUGAUCCAGCCAUGCCGCGUGUGUGAAGAAGGUCUUCGGAUUGUAAAGCACUUUAAGUUGGGAGGAAGGGCAGUAAGUUAAUACCUUGCUGUUUUGACGUUACCAACAGAAUAAGCACCGGCUAACUUCGUGCCAGCAGCCGCGGUAAUACGAAGGGUGCAAGCGUUAAUCGGAAUUACUGGGCGUAAAGCGCGCGUAGGUGGUUCAGCAAGUUGGAUGUGAAAUCCCCGGGCUCAACCUGGGAACUGCAUCCAAAACUACUGAGCUAGAGUACGGUAGAGGGUGGUGGAAUUUCCUGUGUAGCGGUGAAAUGCGUAGAUAUAGGAAGGAACACCAGUGGCGAAGGCGACCACCUGGACUGAUACUGACACUGAGGUGCGAAAGCGUGGGGGAGCAAACAGGAUUAGAUACCCUGGUAGU